AUGGGCGGCCAGAUCCAUUGCGCGGGCGGCCAGAUCCAUUGCAAGGUGAUGGGGAAGAGUGGAGAAAGCGUCGGCGGUGGCCGCUGUGGUGGUAGGAACAACACACCUCCACUGCAGCACGGAGAAGGCGGGUGUGGCGGCACCAACAACGACAAGGGAAGCUCAUGUGGCGGAUCUGCACCAACGGCGAGAAGCGGUGGCGGAUCUGCACCAACGGCGACAAGCGGGGGCGGAUCUGCACGGCAAAUCCCCCCAGGGAUGGAUCCAGCUGCAGCAUUCUUUCUUUCAGUUCAAAUGGAGACCACUGUUCUAUUUUCUGUUGGUACAAAAGGAAAAGAUUGUGGAUUCACUUUUCCUUUAGUUGUGGACAACACUAGAUCAUAUACUAAUUUUAGGGCUGCCAUUUGUGCCAAGUAUCCAUGGGGAUUGUUUGAUGCUGUGGAGAUCAGAUAUUGGGAUAGUUCCAAACUUUGUUGGGUCCCUGUGCAGUGUGAUGCAUAG
rnacentral:rRNA from 1 species